rnacentral:rRNA from 1 species
UACGAAGGGUGCAAGCGUUACUCGGAAUUACUGGGCGUAAAGCGUGCGUAGGCGGUUUGUUAAGUCCGUUGUGAAAGCCCUGGGCUCAACCUGGGAAUUGCAGUGGAUACUGGCGAGCUAGAGUGCGGUAGAGGAUGGUGGAAUUCCCGGUGUAGCGGUGAAAUGCGUAGAGAUCGGGAGGAACACCCGUGGCGAAGGCGGCCAUCUGGACCAGCACGUGACGCUGAGGCACGAAAGCGUGGGGAAGCAAAC